rnacentral:rRNA from 1 species
GACGAACGCUGGCGGCGUGCCUAAUACAUGCAAGUUGAGCGCUGAAGGUUGGUACUUGUACCAACUGGAUGAGCAGCGAACGGGUGAGUAACGCGUGGGGAAUCUGCCUUUGAGCGGGGGACAACAUUUGGAAACGAAUGCUAAUACCGCAUAAAAACUUUAAACACAAGUUUUAAGUUUGAAAGAUGCAAUUGCAUCACUCAAAGAUGAUCCCGCGUUGUAUUAGCUAGUUGGUGAGGUAAAGGCUCACCAAGGCGAUGAUACAUAGCCGACCUGAGAGGGUGAUCGGCCACAUUGGGACUGAGACACGGCCCAAACUCCUACGGGAGGCAGCAGUAGGGAAUCUUCGGAAAGGGACGAAAGUCUGACCGAGCAACGCCGCGUGAGUGAAGAAGGGUUUCGGAUCGUAAAACUCUGUUGGUAGAGAAGAACGUUGGUGAGAGUGGAAAGCUCAUCAAGGGACGGUAACUACCCAGAAAGGGACGGCUAACUACGUG